GUGCCAGCCGCCGCGGUAAUACAGAGGUCUCAAGCGUUGUUCGGAUUCAUUGGGCGUAAAGGGUGCGUAGGUGGUAGCGCAAGUCUGGUGUGAAAUCUCGGAGCUUAACUCCGAAAUUGCACCGGAUACUGCGUAACUCGAGGACUGUAGAGGAGAUCGGAAUUCACGGUGUAGCAGUGAAAUGCGUAGAUAUCGUGAGGAAGACCAGUUGCGAAGGCGGAUCUCUGGGCAGUUCCUGACACUGAGGCACGAAGGCCAGGGGAGCAAACGGGAUUAGAAACCCGAGUAGUCC
rnacentral:rRNA from 1 species